rnacentral:rRNA from 1 species
GUGGGCCCACGGGGCGCAGCAGUGGGGGAUAUUGCACAAUGGGGGGAACCCUGAUGCAGCGACGCCGCGUGGGUGAAGGAGCGUUUCAGCGCGUAAAGCCCUAUCGGCAGGGAAGAAGGAGGACGGUACCUGACUAAGAAGCCCCGGCUAACUACGUGCCAGCAGCCGCGGCAAUACGUAGGGGGCAAGCGUUAUCCGGAUUUACUGGGUGUAAAGGGGGCGCAGACGGCAGCGCAAGCCAGGAGUGAAAGCCCGGGGCCCAACCCCG